CGGCUGCCUCCCUUUCCCUCAGCCUCCCGGGAGCGUGACGCGGCGGCCGGGGGGCCUCCGGGCGCCUUCCGAGGCACGCGGACUGUAAUUGUUCCCUCCCAGGAUCGACAUGCACUUGGAUCACUGCAGUUCCUGGGCCUGCUGUCAUAUCUCCCUUCAGUACUUCCCACAUAUGACUACCAACUGUUAGACGAUGUGCUGCCAGACCAGCAUUUCAUUUCUUGGACAUCCGGCUAUUUACCCAGGAAAAGUCAUCCUUUGACUUUUCUCAUCUGACUCGUGAUCUGCCCAUCUUGUUAACUCCCUAGCAGUGUGGUAAGACACUUUUCCUUGACCUUCUCCGCCAUGUUUUGAUGCAGCACGAAA